rnacentral:rRNA from 1 species
GUGUCUGGCGGCAGCUUACACAUGCAAGUCGAGCGGGGGAGAUUGCUUCGGUAAUUGACCUAGCGGCGGACGGGUGAGUAAUACUUAGGAAUCUGCCUAUUAAUGGGGGACAACAUCUCGAAAGGGAUGCUAAUACCGCAUACGCCCUACGGGGGAAAGCAGGGGAUCACUUGUGACCUUGCGUUAAUAGAUGAGCCUAAGUCGGAUUAGCUAGUUGGUGGGGUAAAGGCCUACCAAGGCGACGAUCUGUAGCGGGUCUGAGAGGAUGAUCCGCCACACUGGGACUGAGACACGGCCCAGACUCCUACGGGAGGCAGCAGUGGGGAAUAUUGGACAAUGGGGGGAACCCUGAUCCAGCCAUGCCGCGUGUGUGAAGAAGGCCUUAUGGUUGUAAAGCACUUUAAGCGAGGAGGAGGCUCUUUUGGUUAAUACCCAAGAUGAGUGGACGUUACUCGCAGAAUAAGCACCGGCUAACUCUGUGCCAGCAGCCGCGGUAAUACAGAGGGUGCGAGCGUUAAUCGGAUUUACUGGGCGUAAAGCGUGCGUAGGCGGCUUUUUAAGUCGGAUGUGAAAUCCCCGAGCUUAACUUGGGAAUUGCAUUCGAUACUGGGGAGCUAGAGUAUGGGAGAGGAUGGUAGAAUUCCAGGUGUAGCGGUGAAAUGCGUAGAGAUCUGGAGGAAUACCGAUGGCGAAGGCAGCCAUCUGGCCUAAUACUGACGCUGAGGUACGAAAGCAUGGGGAGCAAACAGGAUUAGAUACCCUGGUAGUCCAUGCCGUAAACGAUGUCUACUAGCCGUUGGGGUCUUUGAGACUUUAGUGGCGCAGCUAACGCGAUAAGUAGACCGCCUGGGGAGUACGGUCGCAAGACUAAAACUCAAAUGAAUUGACGGGGGCCCGCACAAGCGGUGGAGCAUGUGGUUUAAUUCGAUGCAACGCGAAGAACCUUACCUGGUCUUGACAUAGUAAGAACUUUCCAGAGAUGGAUUG